rnacentral:rRNA from 1 species
CCUACGGGGGGCAGCAGUGAGGAAUAUUGGUCAAUGGGCGGGAGCCUGAACCAGCCAAGCCGCGUGAGGGAAGAAGGUACAGCGUAUCGUAAACCUCUUUUGUCAGGGAACAAAGGCGGGGACUAGUCCCCGGCUGAGGGUACCUGAAGAAAAAGCAUCGGCUAACUCCGUGCCAGCAGCCGCGGUAAUACGGAGGAUGCGAGCGUUAAUCGGAAUUACUGGGCGUAAAGCGCGCGUAGGCUGUUGUGUAAGUUGGGGGUGAAAUCCCACGGCUCAACCGUGGAACAGCCCUUGAUACUGCGCGACUUGAAUCCGGGAGAGGGUGGCGGAAUUCCAGGUGUAGGAGUGAAAUCCGUAGAGAUCUGGAGGAACAUCAGUGGCGAAGGCGGCCACCUGGACCGGUAUUGACGCUGAGGCGCGAAAGCGUGGGGAGCAAACAGGAUUAGAUACCCGGGUAGUC